rnacentral:rRNA from 1 species
AAUCAACGCUGGCGGCGUGCCUCAGACAUGCAAGUCGAACGCGAAAGUCUCCUUCGGGGGACAAGUAGAGUGGCGCACGGGUGAGUAACACGUAGGUAAUCUACCUUCGGAUGGGGAAUAACAACCGGAAACGGUUGCUAAUACCGCAUAAUGCAGCGGCACCUAAUGGUGACAGUUGUUAAAGCGGGGGAUCGAAAGACCUCGCGUCUGAAGAGGAGCCUGCGGCGGAUUAGCAGUUGGUAGGGUAACGGCCUACCAAGGCGACGAUCCGUAGCCGGCCUGAGAGGGCGGUCGGCCACACUGACACUGACAUACGGGUCAGACUCCUACGGGAGGCAGCAGUCGGGAAUUUUGGGCAAUGGGCGAAAGCCUGACCCAGCAACGCCGCGUGAAGGAUGAAAUCCCUCGGGAUGUAAACUUCGCAAGAAUGGGAAGAAUUAGUAGGGUUAAUACCCCCUAUGAUGACGGUACCAUUUGUAAGCUCCGGC